GAAGGAUGUAGUUCAGACCAGGAUUUCUAAUCCAUGUUCUCAUCAGUUGAAUUCUGAUGAUCCUUUU
rnacentral:tRNA from 1 species